UACGUAGGUGGCGAGUGUUAUUCGGAUUUACUGGGCGUAAAGGGUUCGUAGGGGGCAUGCUAAGUCCGACGUGAAAGCUCAUGGCUUAACCAUGAAAUGUCGUUGGAUACUGGCAAGCUUUGAGGACUGGAGAGGAGAGUGGAAUUCCUGGUGUAGCGGUGGAAUGCGUAGAUAUCAGGAGGAACACCGAUGGCGAAGGCAGCUCUCUGGACAGUACCUGCCACUGAAGAACGAAAGCUGGGGGAGCAAACAGG
rnacentral:rRNA from 1 species